CAGACAGGUCAUUGCUUCAGCUCCAACAUCCAGUUUGUGGUGCUGCACAACAAACCCCACUUUUUAGUGGAUAUAUUCAAGCGAACCCAAAGGCUCUUUUAAGAGCCAUCCACAUUGCACGGGACAUUUUCUAUUGGACGUCUUAUUCAUUAUUACGCUGAAAACGUACAAAAACGCUGAAAACGUACAAAAACGCUGAAAACUUACAAAAACGCUGAAAACGUACAAAAACGCUAAAAACGUACAAAAACGCUUCUUGUGAUUCUGAAAAAAGCUUCUUGUGAUUCUGAAAAAAACGCUUCUUGUGAUUCUGAAAACCCCAUUCUUGUGAACCUGAAAAUCUUCUUCCUGUGAGCCUUACUACAAAAACCAAGUGAACAUUGACACCAGUUAGUGAACUACAACUACUACAAGAGAAAAGGAGCUCCAAAACAUCUCUUCCAGUACACCUUGCUGCCUGCUGUCUUCAAGAAGGACCACUGAUUCAAGCUCAGCUUUUGAAGCCUACUGUUCAACGUUACAUUAGUUAAAUUUUGUGGUGUUGUUUAUCAUACAGGUAUAUUUUAUGUAAAUAUACUUUAUAAGGUGUAUAUACAAUUAAAUAGUCUUUCUGUAGUCAAAGAAAUUUACUUUACAGUAGACGUUAAAAUAGCAUUUGGGUAACAUUUUAUUUAUUAUAAACAUUACAUCCGUGUUACUUAUUAGUCUGAGUUAUUAAACCUGUGCCAGUAUUACAUUAGUCUGAGUUUUACCAUCUGUUUUACAUAAGUCUGAGUUAUUUUAUCUGUUUUAAGUAUUACAUUAGUUUGAGUUAUUAAAUCUGUGUUAAGUCUUACAUUAGUCUGAGUACAAAAAUCUGUUUUACAUUAGUCUGGGUUUUUACACCUGUGUUGGGUAUUACAUUAGUCUGAGCUAUUAAACCUCUACCAGUAUUACAUUAGUCUGAGUUUUACCAUCUGUUUGACAUUAGUCUGAAUAAUUUAAUCUGUUUUAACUACUACAUUAGUUUGAGUUAUUAAAUCUGUGUUAAGUCUUACAUUAGUCUUCUGAGUUAUAACAUCUGUUUUAUAUUAGUCUGGGUUGAUACACCCGUGUUCAGUAUUGCAGUAGUCUGAGUUACUAAAUCUGUGCUAGUAUUACAUUAGUCUGAGUUGUAACAUCUGUUUUGCAUUAGCCAGGGUUAUUACAUCUGUGUUAAGUAUUACAUUAGUUCUGUUUAUACAUUCCUGUUAUCACAUAUAAAACUUCAGUGGCUAAGUAAACAGUAAAAUUUUCCUUAAAUCUUAUUUCAUCUGUGUUGGGAGUGAUAACAUAUAUUCAUACUUUACGUUUGUGUUCAGUAUUGUGAUUUAAAGCAUUCGUGUUUACAGUUAUACAAGUAACCUUUUCAUAUACUUGUCUGUCAUAUAUUUAACUUGCUUGAGUGAUCGAUUGCAUAAUAGACAUUACCUGUGGCUGGAAGUUCAUAAUCAGUCAAAUAUUUCAAAAUUGAGCUGUGUUUAAGCAUUAUAUCUGCUUAAGUUGCCUGAUAUAUCACACAAACUUAC